AGUGAACGCUGGCGGUAGGCCUAACACAUGCAAGUCGAACGGCAGCACAGGAGAUCUUGCUCUCUGGGUGGCGAGUGGCGGACGGGUGAGGAAUACAUCGGAAUCUGCCCAGUCGUGGGGGAUAACGUAGGGAAACUUACGCUAAUACCGCAUACGACCUUCGGGUGAAAGAGGGGGAUCGCAAGACCUCUCGCGAUUGGAUGAGCCGAUGUCGGAUUAGCUAGUUGGCGGGGUAAUGGCCCACCAAGGCGACGAUCCGUAGCUGGUCUGAGAGGAUGAUCAGCCACACUGGAACUGAGACACGGUCCAGACUCCUACGGGAGGCAGCAGUGGGGAAUAUUGGACAAUGGGCGCAAGCCUGAUCAAGCCAUACCGCGUGGGUGAAGAAGGACUUCGGGUUGUAAAGCCCUUUUGUUGGGAAAGAAAUCUUUCAGGCUAAUACCCUGGGAGGAUGACGGUACCCAAAGAAUAAGCAACGGCUAACUUCGUG
rnacentral:rRNA from 1 species